rnacentral:rRNA from 1 species
ACGUAGGGUGCGAGCGUUGUCCGGAAUUACUGGGCGUAAAGAGCUCGUAGGCGGUUUGUCACGUCGUCUGUGAAAUCCUAGGGCUUAACCCUGGACGUGCAGGCGAUACGGGCUGACUUGAGUACUACAGGGGAGACUGGAAUUUCUGGUGUGGCGGUGUAUUGCAAGGAGAUGACGAAGAGGACCGAAGGCGUGGGCAGGGAACAGGGUUGUAACCCGCGGUAAUGCGUGAAAGCGUGUCUUACACCAAG